AGAGAGAGAGCAAGAGUUGAGUGAAGAGUGAGUGAGAGGGAGCCCCGACCAGCCUCACUGUCACCCAUGAGCCGACUGAUGACCCCCAGCCGAAGCUUCAACCGCCAAGACGGUUCCCACCGGGAUCCCAAGCCCAGAAUGAUUAUUAUUCCCAUAUGCAGCUGCAUUGUUGAAUCCAUUACCACCAUACACAAGAGAAUUGGAGGAUGAACUCUGCUCCAUGGAUAUUGGGGAGUCGAUGUUAUUGUUGGAAGAGUCAGUGGUGCUCAAUAAGAGGGAAUUGGAAGAGGCAGGCUGGUGGUUGAAGAAAUUGUGGGUGGUGUUAAUGGUGUUGGAGUUGGAAUAACAAUAAUCAUCCUCUUGCUCUUGCUUGCAUGGCCACGCCCUCUGCACAUGCCCAUAUCCAUAUGGCGAGGGCAACUGAUGAUGCCGAUUUAUCGCAUGCUGCAUAUUACUGUUGCUCAUCCAUGCCUGCGCCUGUGCUUGUGCAUGGAGGAAAUCCCCAUAAUCAGUGGUACCACCUUUGAAUGUCGUAUAGGGCCAGAAAGCGCUGAGCGGUGAUCCAGAGACAAAGUUAUGGUGCUCAUGUGAUCCCCCAAGAGUGAUGUGGCCCGCGAUGGCAGGCACUGACUGCUCGGCUUCCUUCAAGCGCUUGGCGGCUGCUCCAAUAGGCAAGUUGGUGCUCUCCAGGAUGGUCUUCACGUCGUAACGGCUCAUGUCGAAAUUGGUCACUGCGUUCAGCCCCCUGAACUUUAUGGCGGCUAUAUCAUAUGCCUCGGCUGCUUCCUCUUGGGUACCUGCCAGCAAUUUUUGCAUUCAGUGUGCAAUUCAUCAGAUACAUGUACAUAUAGAUACCUAACGUGGCACCUAUAAUAGUUAACAGAGUCAAGAUUCAAAUACAUAUUCAAUCGUUUAUGCA